AAAAUUAUGAAGUUACGGUGGAUGUAGUAUGCUCGAUUUUUAAUAUAAAAAUAAAUAUAAAUAAAAAUAGUGUGAGAUACUAUUUUAUUGGACUUAAGGGUGUAAACUAUAAGUUGGAAACGACCUGUGCUGAAAUCAGAGUGAAAACAGAAGAUUUAGAAUUUUCUGUGAGAGACGGGGCAGACAAAUUAGCAGAAAAUGCACAGUGUCAGAAAAUUAUAAAAACUGGAGGAUAUGUCAGAAUUAUUUUUGUGAGGCUAGAAUUAAAGUUUCACCUCAGUCUGACACCCGGAAGGUGGAAAAUAAAAUCGAACUGCUAUCUACUAGAGAUUACAGUUCGGUAGAGCUUUCAGUGACCAAACGGGGUCGAAACUGAAAGAUUAAAAAUUCUUUCGUUAAGUUAAGUAAAAU
rnacentral:lncRNA from 1 species